rnacentral:lncRNA from 1 species
AGCUGCGAGUGCUCGUACCAUGGCUCGUUGGAGCAGAACAUCUCGAUGCUAAGAGAAUUGCUGGCAGGAGAAUCACCUGCAAACAGCUGCUGGACUACUUCACGGUGUAUACCAACGUUUUCAAGGAUGGGAAGCGGCCUCAUGUGGCAACAGUUCUGCAAGCGACAGCGGAAGAAAGCAACCGGAAUGCCAAGGAGGAAGCAAAGG